UACGUAGGGUGCAAGCGUUAAUCGGAAUUAUUGGGCGUAAAGCGCGCGUAGGCGGCUUUGCAAGUCGGGUGUGAAAGCCCUCAGCUCAACUGAGGAAGGGCGCCCGAAACUGCAGAGCUUGAGUGCCGGAGAGGGUGGCGGAAUUCCCCAAGUAGAGGUGAAAUUCGUAGAUAUGGGGAGGAACACCGGUGGCGAAGGCGGCCACCUGGACGGUAACUGACGCUGAGGCGCGAAAGCGUGGGUAGCAAACAGG
rnacentral:rRNA from 1 species